rnacentral:SRP_RNA from 14 species
ACAGGCCGACGCACCAGGCUGGACCAGAGCAGGGCAGGUAGCCGCACCAGCCUGCG